CGAGCAACAAUUUCAUCCGGCUCGAAGGACCAUGAUCAUAGGUGCAACUACUUUCUUCGAAGCUCCGUAUGUUGCCGUAGGUUGCACCAAUGUAUUUUCAGUGUAGGCCGAGAAAAUAAAUAAAGCCACGAAAAAUUAAUUCUUCGUCAAAUAUGUGUUUGAUUUAUUAAUUAUGUAUGUAUACACAUAUACAAAUGUAAGGUGAAUACGAAAUAUUACCUGUAUGGUGUGUGAUGAAGGGUGGUGGCUGAUAGGCGUCCGUGCUCUAUUAAGUGAAAAACUGGAAUGCCCGCGCUAUUUGUUGACAGAUUUAGCCGAACCCUCAAACAGCGAGAUGUGCUGAGGGGAAAUUUGGCUAAUUCGUUAUAAUAAUUGGCGGGAAAAAUAAUGCAAUUAUUUAUAUGCUCAUAUUCGUAUGUAUGUAUAUAUCGGUGUGUGUAUGCACAUGAACAUUAGGGUGGUUCACCCUUUUCAAAGUUGUGUCUAGUGGCCUAAACACAAA